UAAGGAAUAUUGGUCAAUGGACGCAAGUCUGAACCAGCCAUGCCGCGUGAAGGAUGAAGGUCCUCUGGAUUGUAAACUUCUUUUAUCUGGGAAGAAACCCACGUUUUCUAAUGUGGUUGACGGUACCAGAGGAAUAAGCACCGGCUAACUCCGUGCCAGCAGCCGCGGUAAUACGGAGGGUGCAAGCGUUAUCCGGAUUCACUGGGUUUAAAGGGUGCGUAGGUGGGUUGGUAAGUCAGUGGUGAAAUCCCCGAGCUUAACUCGGGAACUGCCAUUGAUACUAUCAGUCUUGAAUACCGUGGAGGUUAGCGGAAUAUGUCAUGUAGCGGUGAAAUGCUUAGAUAUGACAUAGAACAUCAAUUGCGAAGGCAGCUGGCUACACGAAUAUUGACACUGAGGCACGAAAGCGUGGGGAUC
rnacentral:rRNA from 1 species